GGAUGGUAAGUCCACCGUCAAAUCCCAGGGCUCAACCUUGAACAGGCGGUGGAAACUACUAAGUUGGAGCACGGUAGGGGCAGAGCGAAUUUUCGGUGGAGUGGUGAAAUGCGUAGAGAUCGAAAAGAACACCAACGACGAAAGCACUUUGCUGGGCUGACACUGAC
rnacentral:rRNA from 1 species